rnacentral:rRNA from 1 species
UGGGGAAUAUUGGGCAAUGGGCGAAAGCCUGACCCAGCAACGCCGCGUGAAGGAAGAAGGUCUUCGGAUUGUAAACUUUUGUCUUAUGGGACGAUAAUGACGGUACCAUAGGAGGAAGCCACGACUAACUACGUGCCAGCAGUCGCGGUAAUACGUAGGUGGCGAGCGUUAUCCGGAAUUAUUGGGUGUAAAGGGUGCGUAGGCGGGACGUAAAGUCAGAUGUGAAAUGCGGAGGCUCAACCUCCGAACUGCAUUUGAAACUUACGUUCUUGAGUGGAGUAGAGGCAAGCGGAAUUCCCGGUGUAGCGGUGAAAUGCAUAGAUAUCGGGAGGAACACCAGUGGCGAAGGCGGCUUGCUGGGCUUUUACUGACGCUGAGGCACGAAAGUGUGGGGAGCAAACAGGA